rnacentral:rRNA from 1 species
GACGAACGCUGGCGGCGUGCUUAACACAUGCAAGUCGAACGGAAAGGCCCUGCUUUUGUGGGGUGCUCGAGUGGCGAACGGGUGAGUAACACGUGAGUAACCUGCCCUUGACUUUGGGAUAACUUCAGGAAACUGGGGCUAAUACCGGAUAGGAGCUCCUGCUGCAUGGUGGGGGUUGGAAAGUUUCGGCGGUUGGGGAUGGACUCGCGGCUUAUCAGCUUGUUGGUGGGGUAGUGGCUUACCAAGGCUUUGACGGGUAGCCGGCCUGAGAGGGUGACCGGCCACAUUGGGACUGAGAUACGGCACAGACUACUACGGGACGCAGGAGUGGGGAAUAUUGCACAAUGGGAGGAAGCCUGAUGCAGCAACGCCGCGUGCGGGAUGACGGCCUUCGGGUUGUAAACCGCUUUCGCCUGUGACGAAGCGUGAGUGACGGUAAUGGGUAAAGAAGCACCGGCUAACUACGUG